UAACGCGUGGGUAACCUGCCUCAUACAGGGGGAUAACAGUUAGAAAUGACUGCUAAUACCGCAUAAGCGCACAGCAUCGCAUGAUGCAGUGUGAAAAACUCCGGUGGUAUAAGAUGGACCCGCGUUGGAUUAGCUAGUUGGUGAGGUAACGGCCCACCAAGGCGACGAUCCAUAGCCGACCUGAGAGGGUGACCGGCCACAUUGGGACUGAGACACGGCCCAA
rnacentral:rRNA from 1 species